AUAUCUCUCUGUACGGGAAGGAUGAGAAGCUUCGACUAAGGUUCGAUUCGAGCGCAGCGAGAAAGCGUUGCCGU
rnacentral:sRNA from 1 species